AAUGAAGCGAGCACCUUCACACCUGCAGCCAGACUGACUCCACUCCAAGUACAGCCUCUGGCAGAAACACAGCGGUAAGAAGUGGCAAGGAAGGACAGAAGGAGCAAACGGCUAGAAUCUCUCACCCUGCUCCCCACAGUGAGCAAGAAAAGGAAGAAAGGAGAGAAUAAAGGAAGCAAGUUACAUGGGGAUUUUGGCCUCGAACCUGCUGAGUCUCCAUCUUCACUUCUGGAUUCUGCUGCAGUUAAAUCUCCCGCCCUCACCCUCGGCUCGGACGUCCCGUCGUGCUCCCCAAAGGAACUAGUUCAAAGUGCGGUCAUCACUCAGCUACUCAAGUAAUUUCAUCAACUCUGUGAACUCAAAGAUGCAAUGUACUCUCAAGGAAUCGGCAUCAUUAUACAGAAAAUAAGGGAACUAUAAAAGAAACCAUGUCAAUACAGGUCCAGAUAAUGAAUGUAAGGUGCUUAAUUUACCUAACAAAAUAAGCCUUAAGAGCCGGGCGGUGGUGGUACACGCCUUUAAUCCCAGCAGAGGCAGGCGGAUCUCUGUGAGUUCAAGGCCAGCCUGGUCUACAAGCGCUAGUUCCAGGACAGGAACCAAAAGCUACGGAGAAACCAUGUCUCGAAAAAUAAAAAAAAAAGCAUUAAGUACUUAAAUAAUGAGUAUUCAAUAAAUGGUUAAGCAGCGUUCUUAGUAGCAUUUGAGACAAUCUCAGUGAAUGUACAAUAUUGUGCUUGGUGAGGAUGGGACGCCAUGCUGACUGGAAGGAACAGCUUACAUAAAAAUACAAAGAACUGGGGCUGGAGAGAUGUCUCAGCAGUUAAGAGCGCUG